rnacentral:rRNA from 1 species
CCUACGGGAGGCAGCAGUGAGGAAUAUUGGUCAAUGGACGCAAGUCUGAACCAGCCAUGCCGCGUGCAGGAAGACGGCUCUAUGAGUUGUAAACUGCUUUUGUACGAGGGUAAACGCAGAUACGCGUAUCUGUCUGAAAGUAUCGUACGAAUAAGGAUCGGCUAACUCCGUGCCAGCAGCCGCGGUAAUACGGAGGAUUCAAGCGUUAUCCGGAUUUAUUGGGUUUAAAGGGUGCGUAGGCGGUCUGAUAAGUUAGAGGUGAAAGCCCGAGGCUCAACUUCGGAAUUGCCUCUGAUACUGGUCGGCUAGAGAGUAGUUGCGGUAGGCGGAAUGCAUGGUGUAGCGGUGAAAUGCUUAGAGAUCAUACAGAACACCGAUUGCGAAGGCAGCUUACCAAGCUACGUCUGACGUUGAGGCACGAAAGCGUGGGGAGCAAACAGGAUUAGAUACCCUAGUAGUC